GAAGUUCGCCAGGCAGUCGCUGUGCGCAUGCGCAUGGAGGAAAGUCCGGGCCCCGCAGGGCAGGAUGCCGGCUAACGGCCGGGCGCCGUGAGGCGACGGAAAGUGGAACAGAAAAUACACCGCCGAUGGCGGCAUGCGCGAGACGCCGCGAGGCGCGCCGCGCUUCUUGCGCCUGGCGCAAGACCGAUCAGGCAAGGUUGAAAUGGUGCGCCGGGCGGGCGUGAGUCCGCUGGCGGGCAGGGCGCAAGCCUUGCCGGGUAAGAGCCCACCGCGGACGUGGUAACACGGACGGCACGCUAAACCCCAUCCGGGGCAAGGCCAAAUAGGGGGGCGUCGAUGUGGCCCGCAGAGCCCCCGGGUAGGCUGCUGGAGCGUCACGGUAACGUGGCGCCAAGAGGAAUGACUGCCCCGUCGGCGCGAGCCGGCGCGACAGAACCCGGCUUAUCGGCGAACUUCCCCC
rnacentral:RNase_P_RNA from 1 species